rnacentral:misc_RNA from 1 species
CGUCUGGUACAUAUUUACCUUGUCUCUCUCAGUGUUCACUUCCCAUCGAUCGGGGUAAGGACAAUGCUCAUCUUCACCUGAUUAAAGAAGCAAAGUGUGUAUGGAGUGUUUGCCGUGAACCCGCAACAUGCUGACCCACAAGAAUUACGCCGAUACCACCUGCAACGUUACCACCCUUCAACCCAUGGGCCACAAUAACUACGGAAUGAACGUUAGCACCUACAACGCUCAGAAUUUCGGUAACAACAUGAUUCCCCCCAUGAGUAUGGGAAUGAGCAACAGUUGCAUGUCUCCGACCAUGAGCCAACUCGGACUCAAUCAGGGUAUGAACCCUACGUGUAUGGGGGUAACGCCGGCACUGAGCGGUGGUUACAGUGGGGGUGGUGAAUCGACGGCGUUGCAGAGAGCCCGAGCCGACAAGACCUAUCGUCGUAAUUACACGCACGCAAAGCCACCGUAUUCUUACAUCAGCCUGAUCACCAUGGCCAUUCAGAAUUCGCCCACCAAGAUGCUGACCCUGAGCGAAAUCUACCAAUUCAUCAUGGACCUCUUCCCGUACUAUCGGCAGAAUCAGCAGAGGUGGCAGAAUUCCAUACGUCACAGCCUCAGCUUCAACGAUUGUUUCGUCAAAGUGCCACGGACACCGGACAAGCCAGGAAAGGGCAGUUUUUGGACGCUGCACCCCGAAUCUGGCAACAUGUUCGAGAACGGAUGCUACCUGAGACGACAGAAACGCUUCAAGUGCGAAAAGAAAGAAGCCAUGAGACAGGCCAACAAGGCACAAUCGCCCAAAGUUAAGGCAGAUUCGACUACAUCGCCUAGCAACAGGCUGUCACCCUGUCGUUCCAGUCCCAUGCAGUAUCCCAUGGCAGAACCAUACGUAGAACCCCAUAACUGCAAAUCAGACGGUAGUUGCUGUGGUCAAGCCCAGAUGGACCCUUCGCUUCUACACCUGCGCGGAUUUCAGGACAACCUACACAUGGGCCAAAUGAAGAACUUUAGUCCUUCCAACCACCCCUUUUCCAUCAAUAACAUCAUCAACGAGAACAAACUGGACAUGAAACUGUAUGAAGUCUCUAAUUAUACCAUGUAUCCUCCUCCUCUUUCGCCCGGACACGACCCUUCUCAUUACUAUUCGUCUUCUAUCUAUCCUGUGCAUCCUGCCACGUCUAUGUAGAUAAAGUAGGAGGCCCCAUUGGAGGAGGCCCUCCUAAGAAAAUCCUUAGAUUUUAAGAAAAAAAAAAUAGUAAGUAUCAUCUUCCGAAAAGGAAAAACAAUUCAAUAAUAUACUUUUAUUG